ACCGCGAGGUUGAGCGAAUCCCAUNAAACCAUUCUCAGUUCGGAUUGCAGNCUGCAACUCGCCUGCAUGAAGCUGGAAUCGCUAGUAAUCGCGGAUCAGCAUGCCGCGNUGAANACGUUUCCCGGGCCCUUGUACACACCNCCCGUCACACCACGAGAGUUUGUAACACCCGAAGUCGGUGGGGUAACCUUUUCGGAGCCANCCGCCUAAGGUGGGACAGAUGAUUGGGGUGAAGUCGUAACAAGGUAGCC
rnacentral:rRNA from 1 species